GGCGAGCGUUAAGGACCGAUGCCUCAAGUACUGCGGGCUGUGCUGCGAGCAGUGCCGGUGCGUGCCGUCGGGGACCUACGGGCACAAGGACGAGUGCCCCUGUUACAGGGACAAGUACACCGGCAGCGGGAAGAGGAGGAGACCCAAAUGCCCCUGAUCGAACACCUUGAGGUCAUCCGGCGUCGAAUGGUGUGUGUUUUAUAGCGUAUAUGAAUCAGAG
rnacentral:lncRNA from 1 species